CCGUUGGUGUAAAGGGAGCAGCUGAGAAUCCAUAAAGCUGGCUGCUGAGAAAGUCAAGUGGAGGCCUGCCUGGCUGAAACCUCUUCAAUAGAUCUGUAGUCUGGACUUGAACCCUGCCCUCUCACCUCAGGGUCCGAUAUUUCUUUCUUUGCUAUUCCCCCCCUCCCGCCCCCACCUUCUCUUCUCCUCCCUGCUUCUCUAUCGAGGAGUGAUAAACUCAGACUGAGUGAAUAAAUGUGAGUGACCCCCAUCCACCCACCCCCACCUCCCUGAGCUGAGAGAGAGAGAGGAAACAGACAGAGGAGGGAAGGGAGACAGGAGACGGAGGGGGAAAGGAGGGUCCCGACUUCCUCACAGGUAAUUAAAGGGACUGUUUUCAAGGUUGCAUGGGCAAAAGACAAUUCGGCCCUAAUGAAGCAUCGAUCGACUGGCACUAAAGGUAGAAGGGAGCUGACAUUCAUUCAAAGGUCUCAACUGUCUUAUUUAAGCCUGAAUGAAGAAAGGGACAUGUCAUGGGUGGAUAGUAACGGAGUCCACCCUGGUGGCACGUCCCGCCCCGGCUCUGUGCUUCCCCUGGGCACUUCGGAUCAUUCCCUACCAUGUUCUUACAGCUCCUGUUUCUAAAAGUGCACUACCAGUAUGGUUUUGCUGAAUUACUUUGAAACUUCUAAGCACAGACAAUGGCCAAUGUUAUUUUAAAAGCAUUUACAAACAUCUUCAUAGGCAUUGGGUGGGUAAAGACACAUCCGAAUGCUGCUGCAGCAUCUGAAGACUUGCAGGCUCUUCUUUUGGUGGCCAGCUCUGUGACCACACCUGCGUGCUCCUCACCGUAAACAGAAGAGUCGAUUUUUCCUUGGCUAAGAUGCAGAAUUUUUGUUUUGGUCUGUCCCUCCUUGAUUUUUCUACCUCUACGGCCUGAUAAUUUGGUAGAGUUAUCUGACUGUACAAAUAUAGCUGGAGGACAAAGAGGGAGUAAAAGGUCCUAAAUCAGUUUUCAUGGCUAAAGUGCACACGGAAUCCAUUUUGGCAAAAAGCACUUAAAUUCUCAGAAUUCCUCCAAAUCCUUAAAUGCCACACGGCUGUGAUAUUCCUUUGAAGAAGAGCAUUGGACCUAAUAAACUGAAUACUGGAGGCACAGAUCUCGUCUUCUUUAGUUCUUGCAACAGCUUUUCACUAAAUUCAAAAAAGACCUUUUGUGCUUAACUGGGUUUUCAUUUCAUUGCUUUUAAAUUUGUUAAGCUUGACUUUUGACACUUUGGGUGUUUAGCCUUUUUUUUUUUUUUCUCCAGUGCAAUUAUAUAAUAAAUAUUUGUGCUUCCCAAAAGGAAGACAUUAAUCUGUUGUUAAAGCUAAUAUACAAAGAAUAAAAUGUACUUCACUCUUUUGUUAGAAAUAACCCAUAUAACUAUGUACGUUUUCUAAACAUCAUUUUUAAGUAACUGAUAGUAUAAACUAUUUUUGAAAUAACUCAGUGAAACCCUGUAUACAUGCUAUGUUUACUCCACUCUGCUGGAGAGCGUAAGCAAAAUAGAAAAAAAAUUAAUAAAGCCAAGAAGGAAAAAUAACUUCCAUAAAUAAUGAUUUAAAUAAAAAGUGGUACUGAAUUGCUAUCGAAACAAAUUAAACAUCAAAUGAUAAAAAAAACCACUAGCAAAUCAAAAUUCUCUCUCAAAAAUCAAAGUAAUGGAUGCUUGUCCCAUUGAUUUAUUUACAUUUCUAGUUUGCUUCAGCAAACAAAAUAGUGUGAGUGGAGAUAGCUCUCAUCAGCCAAAAAAUGAAAACAGGUAUUUGUUUAAAAAAAAAAAAUUGCACUUGGAAUUUUAGUUUCUUCGCAGAAAUUACAAAAGGGACAUUGAGAAAUUGUUCAAAGGGUGACGCUUUGAAACUAAAGUUUCUGAUUUUUUUUUUUUUUUAUCUUUUAAACAUCCAGAAGUAAUCGUACUUUUAGAUGAAAAGUAUAAAUCUGGACCUAAUCUGGAUCUUUUCUGCCUUAAGGAAAUGAUUUAAAACUGAUUUUACAAAGAAAUAUUAAAAUCAAUCCAAGAAAUGACAUUAUCAUUAGUAAAUGGAACCUAAUUCUUAAACGUUUUAAUCCACUUACUUCAACCAUUCCAAACACAUUUAAAAUAUUUUCAUAUGUAUAGAUUUUAAACAUUUUCUAAAUUACAUAUUUCUUUAAAAUACCUUUUUCAUGUAUAUCUGUCACACUUCUUACUUGGGAAUUAUUAUGGGUUUGUAUUUUUUUAUGUCACGAAGAAAAUGACAGUCAUGAUAACAAGAGAAUAUGUACAUUUUCUAUCUAGUUUUGUUUCAAAUCCAAAUAAAUAGGAAUGUAAAAAUGGUUUAAAUGGUUAUUUUAGAACUCUGCAGGGAAUCUUCUUUUUAACAGUAUUUCAAGCCUUUUCUAAAGAUUUCUCACAUCAGUAUUAUGUUGUUGGUUUCCUUUUGAAAAAUACUCAGCGUUUUAGAGAACCUUAUAAUUUAAAUUUAUUUCCUAUGCAUAUGGUUUUGUCAAAAUCCCAAUCCAAACACAGAAAAUGCCCUGUGUCUCCUUAACACCUACAAAGCUAAUGUUUACAGGCCAGCUUAAAUCUGAAGAGAAAUAUUCACCACAACUCCGGGCUUUCUUUUUCUUUCUUUUUUUUUUUUUUUUUUUUCCUGGAUCAGUCGAGCUCUACAUUUGAUAUACAGACUGAUUUUUUUUUCCAUCAAAAUUACAUGAGAAGCAAAAAGCUGGAAUCUAAGACUCUCGACAAACUGGGCGGUUCUCUUCACUCCUCCUGUCUUUUCUCAGUGUCAGGCUCUAUGUUUAGAUAAAACCAUUUCUCUUUAUCAUUUUCAAGCUGGUCAGAUGGCCUAGAGGGUGGGAGGUGCAAAGAGGUGGCGGGGUGAGGGAAAAGGUGAUUGUUUCACUUGUUGUCAGAGGGCAUUGAUCAGCCUCGCUGUCUGCUGGUCUCAGAGGUGAGGCCACGUCCCCUAGGAGCACUUCGGGGCUGGGCCGUGUCAGUGCAAAGCUGUAUUGAGUCAUGACCCAAAUGAUGGCUUAUUGAGGGAAACGGGUAUUGGCGUCCAAAUCAUUCUGAGACCCCCUCAGUAACACUUACACCAGUCCCCUCCGUUAAUGUCAGGUCACGGGGGACACAUUUAGCUCCCUCC
rnacentral:lncRNA from 1 species